rnacentral:rRNA from 1 species
UACGGGGGGGGCAAGCGUUGUUCGGAAUUACUGGGCGUAAAGCGCGCGCAGGCGGUUUCUUAAGUCUGAUGUGAAAGCCCACGGCUCAACCGUGGAGGGUCAUUGGAAACUGGGGAACUUGAGUGCAGAAGAGAAAAGCGGAAUUCCACGUGUAGCGGUGAAAUGCGUAGAGAUGUGGAGGAACACCAGUGGCGAAGGCGGCUUUUUGGUCUGUAACUGACGCUGAGGCGCGAAAGCGUGGGGAGCAAACAGG